rnacentral:rRNA from 1 species
CCUACGGGAGGCAGCAGUGGGGAAUAUUGCACAAUGGGGGGAACCCUGAUGCAGCGACGCCGCGUGGGUGAAGGAGUAUUUCGGUAUGUAAAGCCCUAUCAGCAGGGAAGAACAAUGACGGUACCUGACUAAGAAGCACCGGCUAAAUACGUGCCAGCAGCCGCGGUAAUACGUAUGGUGCAAGCGUUAUCCGGAUGUACUGGGUGUAAAGGGAGCGCAGGCGGCGCGUUAAGCCUGGUGUGAAAGUCCGCGGCCCAACCGCGGGACUGCAUUGGGAACUGGCCCGCUGGAGUGCCGGAGGGGUAGGCGGAAUUCCUAGUGUAGCGGUGAAAUGCGUAGAUAUUAGGAGGAACACCAGUGGCGAAGGCGGCCUACUGGACGGUGACUGACGCUGAGGCUCGAAAGCGUGGGGAGCAAACAGGAUUAGAUACCCCUGUAGUC